rnacentral:rRNA from 1 species
UACGUAGGGUCCGAGCGUUGUCCGGAAUUACUGGGCGUAAAGAGUUCGUAGGUGGUUUGUCGCGUUGUUCGUGAAAACUCACAGCUCAACUGUGGGCGUGCGGGCGAUACGGGCAGACUUGAGUACUGCAGGGGAGACUGGAAUUCCUGGUGUAGCGGUGGAAUGCGCAGAUAUCAGGAGGAACACCGGUGGCGAAGGCGGGUCUCUGGGCAGUAACUGACGCUGAGGAGCGAAAGCGUGGGGAGCGAACAGG